AUUGAACGCUGGCGGCGGGCCUAACACAUGCAAGUCGAGCGAGCGGCGGGCGGGUGAGUAAUGUCUGGGAAACUGCCUGAUGGAGGGGGAUAACUACUGGAAACGGUAGCUAAUACCGCAUACCAUCAGAUGUGCCCAGAUGGGAUUAGCUAGUAGGUGGGGUAAGGGCUCACCUAGGCGACGAUCCCUAGCUGGUCUGAGAGGAUGACCAGCCACAUUGGACCGGAGACACGGUCCAGACUCCUACGGGAGGCAGCAGUGGGGAAUAUUGCACAAUGGGCGCAAGCCUGAUGCAGCCAUGCCGCGUGUAUGAAGAAGGCCUUCGGGUUGUAAAGUACUUUAAGCGAGGAGGCGUUACUCGCAGAAGAAGCACCGGCUAACUCCGUGCCAGUAGCCGCGGUAAUAC
rnacentral:rRNA from 1 species